GACUCCAAAAUCUAAUCUGUGCGCUUCCCGCAGAACGGCGCAUUUUAACCAAAACCCUAAACCCUUCCUGAAGCGCUGCUGGCGAACGGUGCGCGAGAGACUGCAGAUGGCUUCGAGAUGCAGCAGAUUCAUCAACAGAUCAUCAAUGUCGUCUCUCAAGUCCGCCAUUAAAUCAACUAUUGGAACGGCUUCGGGUUCCAUUGACAGAUCUGCGACUCCAAGGUUCUCUCUCCCCGUCAGAUCCACCUCUUCACCCCUUCGACGAUUCUGCUCUAGAUCUCCUUCAGAGCUUGGAUGCCUGCAGUCUCUGUUACCUCUCCACAGCGCAGUUGCAGUGGCAAGGAUGACCUCUUGCCUUAGCUCGACUUCGAGGAGUUGCAGAGCUCUUUCUCAGGGUACUCUUUGCUGUACCUCUCCUGGCCUCUAAUGCACAUGAAUUUCGAAUGCUUGAAAGAUGAAAUUGAUGGAACGUGACAUAUAUUCUGCUGUUUCUGGAGGUGGCCUCCUCAUAGCUUGGUCAAUCGGUGCCAAGGUGAUUUGUCGGUAGACCAUUGGCAAUGGAGAGCUUUGGAAAAGGAAAUUUACAGUUCACCCCCACCAAAACUCAUGUCGAUUUCAAGAAGUAGCGAUUGAACUUUCAGUUAGCUGUUGAAUGAAUUAAUUUUUGGAUCUUCACCAUGUGGAAAUGGUUGGUUCAAUAAGUACGUUCCAAGCAACUUAGUAGUAUUUGUCGCCAGUUUUUUAUGGGAACGAACGGGUGCAUCUGCAUUCUCAUGACAUUUUUCUUUGUGCUCUUCUGCGUAGAGGCCGCAAUGUUUGUUUUUUAAGUCAAAACUGUAUCACAAGGGUCGCUCCUUUGAUUUGUAGAAACAGUUGCUUUGAGAAAUUUGAAAAAAAAAAAAAAAAAAGAGAGAGAAGAAAAACAAAUAAAACUCAUUAAGUUAAAAAGA